rnacentral:tRNA from 1 species
GGAUUUAGCUCAGUGGUAGAGCGCUUGCCUAGCAAGCACAAGGCACUGGGUUCGGUCCCCAGAUCCA